rnacentral:rRNA from 1 species
GAUGAACGCUAGCGGCAGGCUUAACACAUGCAAGUCGAGGGGUAACAUAGAAAAGCUUGCUUUUCUGAUGACGACCGGCGCACGGGUGCGUAACGCGUAUACAACCUACCUUUUAGCGGGGAAUAGCCCAGGGAAACUUGGAUUAAUGCCCCAUAGUAUAUAGACUUCUCCUGAAGUUUAUAUUAAACAUUUAUGGCUAUUAGAUGGGUAUGCGUCCUAUUAGUUAGUUGGUAAGGUAACGGCUUACCAAGGCAGCGAUAGGUAGGGGUCCUGAGAGGGAGACUCCCCACACUGGUACUGAGACACGGACCAGACUCCUACGGGAGGCAGCAGUGAGGAAUAUUGGACAAGUGGGCGAGAGCCUGAUCCAGCCAUGCCGCGUGCAGGAAGACUCGCCCUAGUGGGUUAGUAAACUGUCUUUUACAGAGGAAGAACCCACCCCACGUGUGGGGGUUUGACGGUACUCUGCGAAUAAGGAUCGGCUAACUACGUG